GAGUAAUGCGUAGGAAUUUGCCUUGAAGUGGGGGAUAGCCCGGAGAAAUCCGGAUUAAUACCGCAUGCGCUCUACGGAGCAAAGCGGGCCUCUUCUUGAAAGCUCGUGCUUUGAGAUAAGCCUACGUCGGAUUAGCUUGUUGGUAGGGUAAAGGCCUACCAAGGCGACGAUCCGUAGCUGGUUUGAGAGGAUGAUCAGCCACACUGGGACUGAGACACGGCCCAG
rnacentral:rRNA from 1 species